UAACCUCACUGCCCACUCUGUGGCUA
rnacentral:piRNA from 1 species